ensembl:lncRNA
AUAAAAUGCAUUUUCAAAUCUUUUUUGUAAUGAACUAUGAUUUAUUUCUAAUGUUAGAUUUUUCUAAAGAAAAACAACAAAACUAAAAGAAAAACGUUUUAAUCCAUGGACCUACCAGAAGAGGGCAUGAUGGGAUUGCAGUAAAUAGCAUGCCUUGACUUCUCAGUGGAAUUAUUCUGCCCCAGAACUGCCUAUAGUCUUGUGUUUGGGUAUUGCUCAAAUGUUUAAACGUCAGAGAACACUGAAAGCAGUUGAAAGCUGGAAAUCAGACAAACAUGAGACAGAUUGGUUUUAUGUAGAUCUGAUAUUUAAAUCCUUUGCAUAGUGUUAUCUGUGGGUAGAGCAAAAAGUUGUGAGAGUAUCUGAUCAGUCAAAACUAAAUAAAUAAGUUGACGCAGCCCUGCUGCUAAAUUAUGAUAAAUUUAAAACAAAUCGGAUUCUUUCAGUUAUUACAGUUAUGUCCUAUAUGUCUCUGGGGAUAUGUCUUAUUAUAUGUCUAAUUUUAUGUCUCAUUUGUCUCUGGGGAUAUGUCUAUUUACAUAUUAUAUGUCUCUGGAUAUGUCUAAUUACAUGUCUCAUAUGUCUCUGGGAAUAUGUCUAAUUACAUGUCUCAUAUGUCUCUGGGGAUAUGUCUCAUUUUAUGUCUCAUAUGUCUCUGGGGAUAUGUCUAAUUACAUGUCUCAUGUCUCUGAGGAUAUAUCUUAUUAUGUGUCUCAUAUGUCUCUGGGGAUAUGUCUAAUUACAUGUCUCAUGUCUCUGAGGAUAUGGACAAAAUCUCCUUUUUACGGCGUCAUCAGGAUGUUAUCAGGAUGAACUACCCUGCUCAGGAACAGAACAACAGAUUUUGCUCAGGCUUUCAAUCCUGAAACAUUUUUGUUUUUCAGAUCAGAUGUUGUAUCUGCUUCAUACGGUAUUUUCAGUUCUAUUUUAACCAUCCCAAAAUGCACCAUCAAGUAGAAAGAUUGGUAGAAAGUGCUUUUCUGAUAAAAAAAUAAUCGUGCUUACACUUGAAGGUAAUAUCAUGGUGACAUUAUAGCUCUGCUAUAGGAACAGAGACUAUGCCAAUGCAAAGAUGUACAUAAUUUAAUCUCACAGUUAUGUUGUUCCAAACUGUACAUAUGUGUCAAAUGCACUCUUUAGAUAUAAAUAUGUUCUUGACAAUAAUUACGAUGGGUCAGUUUGACACAAGUGUGGUAAUUAUAGUUUUAGCUAUCUAAGUCAUUCAUUUGUCCUAGUUUUUAUUUCACCUGGCCCCCACUCUAAAAAUGACUUUGUCAACCAUUUUGAACAGAUGGUUGAUGACAUCCGCCAUUUCAUUCACUCAACCUAUGGGGACCACUGGUCCAUCACACACCAGACUUGUCCUUGCAUUAAUCACUUUUCCCCGGUCUGUCCAGAAGAAAUCCUGUAACAAAUGAUGUCCGGUCGCUUGAAAUCUGCUCCGUUGACCCGAUCCUCCCUUUUCUAAAUCCUCUCUGGAGGCCACCGAUUCCUCACCUCCCCAAUGAACUCAUCCUUGUCUGGUGGAUACAUCCCCUCUGACAUCAAGAGGGCCAUAGUUGCCAUUCAAAGAAACAACAUUCAAACUCUGUGAUGUCAAAAAUUACAUAUGUUGCACAUACACAGCUUGCAGUUAGCAAAAUGCAAUUGAAUGUGCAUGAUAUAAAAUGUUCAUGAAAUUAAUUAUCUUAUUAUUGAAUUAUAUUAUUUAAUUAUUAUUAAGUACCUUCAGGCUAUGGGUUCCAUAUUUUAACAUGCAGCAUUUCUUUGAUAUUCAGCCAACACUCUUAUCCGGCAUUAUUUUACAUUUGUUUUAUCUUUGCUUAUUUAUUGCAUGAAUAUGACUGGUUUAAAUAAUGUUUGAAUGAAUAUUAAAUAAACAAUUAUAAAUCAUUGUCUGGCAAAGAGGCCAAAAUAAAUUGGCUGCAGGCCAUUGCCUCCCUGUAGAGAAAUGUGACUGCUCUGGUUUGUGAGAAGACAUCUUUCAUAUAACUAUAUUUAUAUGUUAAAAACAUUAUUUUCAUUUUGGAAAAUAAAAGCUGUUGUAUGACUAAACUGCAGUUGGAAUUGUGUUGAGUAAUGAUCCAGAUGAAGGCAGCAACUGUUUAUUCAGUCUGUUUCAUUAACCUUAGUCAGCAUUCCUUUGUCCACGGGAAUAAGCCCCUGGACAGGAGUUGUAACUAUCAUGACCACAUGCCAUCAAUAUGGUGGCUUUUUUCACCGUUAUUCUUCCUUUAGGUAUUGCCUUUAAUUUAUCUGGACACCAGAGGAAUUUUUAAAACAACCUCUGAGGAAUUGAGGAAUGCCUAAGUUUGUAUAUAUCAAAGUUUAUAUGUCAGCAUGUGUGUGUUUUCAACACCCAUCUCAUCUCUGCCUCUGUUGUGUACAGCUAGGGUGGCCUGUCAGUCAAUGCUGAGACAAGGUUUUAAGCAUGCAGGUAGCCUGUAUGUAGAGCCACAGGGUUCGUAACACAAGACUAGAAUCUGAUGCCCGAGCAUCCCUCCUUACUCAGGGCUAUGGCACCAACACACUACAACCACAACAGGGACAGUCCCUUCACCACACCACCCUAGUCCUUCCUGGCGUUCAAACAACAACACCACCCUAGUCCUUCCUGGCGUUCACACAACAACACCACCCUAGUCCCUCCUGGCCUGUGUGUGUGUGUGUGUGUGCAUGCACUGUGCACUGUCCACAUACGUUGAUGUGGGGAAAAGAAAAGGAGCAGAAUCAAGUGAAAAAAACCUUUCUAAUCAAUUGGUAGGAAGAGUAGCAACGCACGCGUUGCUUUAUGGAGGCAAGAUGGCUGCUGAUAAUAACACGGAACUGAUAUUCCACUAAAUCCUUUUCAGCUGAACUAGACCCUCAGGCUCCCUAACUAUGAAACUGGCUGAGAUGGAAGAUGACAUGGCUAUUUGUAAUGUAAUCUGUCAAUCCUGACAUCACUGGGCUCUUUAAUCAGCUGCCGUAUGGCAGGUGAACAACAGAGAGCGAUGAGUCAGCAUCAGUCAGGUGACGUGGACCCCCCUUGGCGGCCCUGGGACUUCCUGACACCCACUUUCCUCUGUCCGGCCUCCCGCCUUGUCUCCCUGGCACUCAGUUCUCUGGCCCAGGGCGUAAAUCUGACAACACAGCCUGUGUGUGUCUCAUAAUGGAAGCUGAACACGGGCCCUUUAUGCUGUUUCUGGUGUUUUCCCCUGCUCCCGCCUGUGUGUACAUGUCUCUGGGGGUGGGAGCAAGGAAGGAGAAGUGUAAGUGGGUUCUGAAGGGCUGUGGCCCCUGACCAAGCAAAGGUCCAGUUGCAGGCAGAGAUAAGAUAGGGAUGUGGGUCUCCUUUGAUAAGAGUGGUGAGCUGUGAGAAAACAAGGACAGCCUGAAAGCACAUCCCAGCACGCGCUGCUCUGCUGUUCAUUCCGCUUCCCAGACACAUUGACUCUUAGCAACAGCUCCUUCUGUUAUCCAAAGGGAUCUGCACAAACACUUCGGACAGAUUUGGAAAAUAAACUCCCAGACUCAUUGAGCGGCAGAUACUUUUUUUGCCAUGUGUCUUAUUUUUUUGUGGCAGACAUGCCUUUGGCAGAGAAAAAAAAUACGACCCAUCUUCCUAUAUAUUUAAAUCCUAGUUAAAAGGUAUUCCAUUCUCCUUCACAUCUCCUUUAACACUGGAUUUACUUAAGGAAAGGCACAUGUUAAUAGGUGGCCUAGGUAAGUCAUGUCAUGGAUAUUUUUCCUCCCUAUCUUUCGGUUGUUCAUCAAGACAGGCCGGUGACAUCACAUAAAGUGUGCUGUAUUCUUACUUGAAUCAUUGUUAUUCUGCAGAAAUAAAAGUAAAUGUGCUUCAAUCAUCACUCUCGUUAAAUAGAGAAGUCAGGAAAAAGAGCCAAAGCAUCAAGUAAGAUGUGUAUAUUAUCUGUGUAUAUCAUCAUCACGUCUCGGAGUCAUUACGUGACAGCACAAAUUUACAAACUAAACAGGAACAUGAUAAUGAAUGUCUGCACCUUUGUCUGACCCAGUCAUAUUACCCUGCUCUCCCCAGAGGCUUCUUAUCUCCUUUCUUCUCCUCUUUCUGUUAGUGCUUGUGUUGCCACUUGUCAAGACUCCUGGGACCUCAUGAAUCUCAUUCCACUCUCCCCUUGGUCCUUGCUUGCGUGUACAGUAUGUGUGUGUAUGUAUGUCUGUGCAUGAGUGUGUGUGCGUGAAGGGGAGGAUCCUGCUGUAUAAGACAGGAGUCAUGUUAGUAAUGCCCUCCGCUUGAUCAUAUUCCUUUAUGUAAUCUGACACUUCACAGGGAUUACACAGUGUCAGAUGUUAAAGUGGAUUAGGAUUAGGUAAAAACCCCAUAAGAUCCCAGGAAGGAUCCCAGAAAAUAAACAAACUGCUUUUCAGAUUGUCACCCAAAACACACUAAUCAGAUGAGAAUGCAUCUUGUUUGGAGUGACUGAUAUAAUGCUCCAAUACUCCAAUACGUUGUAUUUACAAUAUCUGCAAAAGGUAAAGUUAAAAAAACACAACUUUUAUUAUAAAGAUGAAUAUACUUCUAUAAACUGGUUACCAACGCAAUUGGAACAUGGCUUUCAGCCAAUCAACACACAGGAUUACAACCACCUGGUUUACAAUUCAGUAUAUGCACUCACUCAGCAUCAGAUAUACAGACACCGCUCCACAGCAAGCCUGCAAUCUGUGAAUGAUGUCAGUAGAGGCUUCUCUCUGGCUCGUCUACAGAGUAGAGAAGUAAAAAAGAAAACCCAGUCUGACAGGUCUGGGCAUUCUCUCAAUGGUCUUCGAAAUAGGAAACACAAUCUCAGCGAGCAAAGUAAAUAACAAUGGCUACCCAUUGUGGACCUUGGAGUAGACACUGACAUAUUUGGCAGAUUUGAAAUAGUAGGUCUGUAUUACAGUGUUGAAAAU